rnacentral:rRNA from 1 species
UACGGAGGGGGCAAGCGUUGUUCGGAAUUAUUGGGCGUAAAGAGUAUGUAGGCGGCUAUUUAAGUCAGACGUGCAAGCCCACGGCUCAACCGUGGAAUUGCGUUUGAAACUAUUUAGCUUGAGUUCAGGAGAGGAAGGCGGAAUUCCCAGUGUAGCGGUGAAAUGCAUUGAUAUUGGGAAGAACACCGGUGGCGAAGGCGGCCUUCUGGUCUGAUACUGACGCUGAGAUACGAAAGCCAGGGGAGCGAACGGG